CCUACGGGAGGCAGCAGUGAGGAAUAUUGGUCAAUGGACGAGAGUCUGAACCAGCCAAGCCGCGUGAAGGAUGACUGCACUCUGGGUUGUAAACUUCUUUUAUAUGGGAAUAAAGACUUCGACGCGUGUGAUGUUGUCUGUACCUUAUGAAUAAGGAUCGGCUAACUCCGUGCCAGCAGCCGCGGUAAUACGGAGGAUGCGAGCGUUAUCCGGAUUUAUUGGGUUUAAAGGGAGCGUAGGUGGAUUGUUAAGUCAGGUGUGAAAGUUGGGGGCUCAACCCGAAAAUUGCAGUUGAAACUGGCAGUCUUGAGUACAGGAGAGGUAGGCGGAAUGCGUGGUGUAGCGGUGAAAUGCUUAGAUAUCACGAAGAACGCCGAUUGCGAAGGCAGCUCACUGGACUGCAACUGACACUGAGGCUCGAAAGUGUGGGUAUCAAACAGGAUUAGAUACCCCAGUAGUC
rnacentral:rRNA from 1 species